rnacentral:rRNA from 1 species
AAAAGCCGCUAUUGUGUAUACAGUACCCGUACCGUAAACCGACACAGGUGGAUGAGGAGAGAAUCCUAAGGCCGGCGGAAGAAGUAUUGUCAAGGAACUCGGCAAAAUGACCCUGUAACUCCGGGAGAAAGGGUGCCUCGAAAGAGGCCGCAGAGAAUUGGCCCAAGCAACUGUUUAGCAAAAACACAGGUCUAUGCGAAACCGAAAGGUGAGGUAUAUGGGCUGACGCCUGCCCGGUGCUGGAAGGUUAAGGGGAGAUGUUAGAGCAAUCGAAGCAUCGAACUUAAGCCCCAGUAAACGGCGGCCGUAACAAUAACGGUCCUAAGGUAGCGAAAUUCCUUGUCGGGUAAGUUCCGACCCGCACGAAAGGCGUAAUGAUUUGGGCGCUGUCUCGACAAUACAUCCGGUGAAAUUGAAGUACCAGUGAAGAUGCUGGUUACCCGCGCCAGGACGGAAAGACCCCAUGGAGCUUUACUCCAGCUUGAUACUGGGAUUCGGUAUUGCAUGUACAGGAUAGGUGGGAGGCUAAGAAGCAUGGACGCCAGUCUAUGUGGAGCCGCUGUUGGGAUACCACCCUUGCGGUAUUGGAUUUCUAACCAGCCGCCGUGAAACCGGCGGUGGGACAAUGUCAGGCGGGGAGUUUGACUGGGGCGGUCGUCUCCGAAAGGGUAUCGGAGGCGCCCAAAGGUUCCCUCAGAAUGGUUGGAAACCAUUCGAAGAGUGCAAAGGCAGAAGGGAGCUUGACUGUGACACCGACGGGUGGAGCAGGUACGAAAGUAGGGCUUAGUGAUCCGGUGGUAUUAAGUGGGAAUGCCAUCGCUCAACGGAUAAAAGCUACCCUGGGAUAACAGGCUUAUCACUCCCAAGAGUUCACAUCGACGGAGUGGUUUGGCACCUCGAUGUCGGCUCAUCGCAUCCUGGGGCUGUAGUAGGUCCCAAGGGUUGGGCUGUUCGCCCAUUAAAGCGGUACGCGAGCUGGGUUCAGAACGUCGUGAGACAGUUCGGUCCCUAUCCGGCGUGGGCGCAGGAUAUUUGAGAGGAGCUGUCCUUAGUACGAGAGGACCGGGAUGGACUGACCUCUGGUGCACCGGUUGUUCCGCCAGGAGCAUAGCCGGGUAGCCAAGUCGGGAAGGGAUAAACGCUGAAGGCACCUAAGCGUGAAGCCCCCCUCAAGAUGAGAUAUCCCAUGCGAAAGCGAUAAGACCCCUUGAAGACGACGAGGUAGAUAGGUCAGAGGUGGAAGUGCAGUAAUGCAUGGAGCUGACUGAUACUAAUAGGUCGAAGGCUUAACAAU